UUUCGAUCGGAAACAUCAGCUCGACAAUCGCAACUUUCAGUACUGCCUUAAAUUGAAAUUUAGUGAUUUGAUUUAUAGUUUGUAUUUGCUACUGGGCAUCAGAAAAGGACAUCAAUGGAAUCAAAACAGGAGAACUAAAUCAAUGGAUCAAAGCCGGACUCAUUUUUCAGAUUUGACACUAAAUUGUCUAAUGUAGAAUAGCUUUUUAAUUUUAUUUAAAGCACACUUACCAUUCAUCACACGGAAAAUUAGAACAAUUAUAAGAUGAGUAGAUGAGAGGCCAUAAGAGAAACAGACGGAAAAUUAAGAUAUCAAUACGAAGCACCACGUGCUUCUCACCUGGCCUUAUUUUACAUACAGUGCGAAAAAGAAAGACAAUGGACCAUCAAUAAGAAAUUCAAAUACAAGAGCCUGACAAAAACAAAAAAGAUGGUUGAGACACUGCAAACGUUAAAAACCACCUGCUUUUAGCUAUAACGUCGAAACAUGGAUUUACAUAAAACAGUACCUUUAUGAAGACGUAUCAAUGGCCGUUGUACAAAAGAAGUUGUAUUCUCCAAUCAUGGAAUGAAGCGAAAAUCAAAACAGUUUAGAGUAAGAAAACCAAAAAUACAGCACAUAUUAGAAUGAAUGAAUUCCUAACAUCAACUAUGUUGCUUGUAAAUUUAAAAAAUAAUCGUUAAUAUGCCCCUUAAACAAUGAAUACGAGAAAGAUUCAGCGAAUAUCAUUGCCAACUAUAACCAAAGCGAGCUAUCAAAAAUGGGCACUUUUUUCCAAUUAGAAAAGUGAAUAAAUUGCUACGCAUUUCAUGAUAUCAAACACAUCACUUUCGCUGUAUAAUUUAAAAAAUUCUAAACACAAAAAAAGUUCAAAAUCGGCAAA